CCAAUAGCGUAUAUUAAAAUUGUUGCAGUUAAAAAGCUCGUAGUUGAACUUCGGGGUCUACCCAUUGGUCAGGCUUAAUUGUCUGCACUGGUGAGAUGGAUCUCUACCUUCUGAGGAACUUUCAUGCCAUUUAUUUGGUGUGAUGGGAAAUCAGGACUGUUACUUUGAAAAAAUUAGAGUGUUUAAAGCAGACUAUCGUCUGAAUACAUUAGCAUGGAAUAAUGAAAUAGGACGGACUGAUUCUAUUUCGUUGGUUUCUAGGAUCACCGUAAUGAUUAAUAGGGAUAGUUGGGGGCAUUAGUAUUCAAUUGUCAGAGGUGAAAUUCUUGGAUUUAUUGAAGACUAACUACUGCGAAAGCAUUUGCCAAGGAUGUUUUCAUUAAUCAAGAACGAAAGUUAGGGGAUCGAAGACGAUCAGAUACCGUCGUAGUCUUAACCAUAAACUAUGCCGACUAGGGAUCGGACGAAGUUAAUUUUAUAAUGACGCGUUCGGCACCUUACG
rnacentral:rRNA from 1 species